GACUGAAGAAUGGAAACACACAAAACACUUGAUUCCUUUCCUGUUUGGGCUUCUGAAUGAGAUGAAUACUAGAUUGGUAAACAGCCUAGUUCCAGCUGAACAGAUCAAGAAGACGUCAGAUUGGUUCUUCAAGGAAGUGGUGAACACAUUUCUUCCAUCUCAAACAAACCAAGAUCAUGCAGAAGGUGGUGCUCCUGAGUUUGAGAUAGAUCUUCUGUUUUUGUGUCAGUGCUUGUAUGAAUAUCAGUCUACUGAGGCCUGUCAGCUUCUCCUGGACAAACUGGACUAUCAUCUAGACCUGAGUGGAGAACAUCUUGAUCCUCACCAGUGCUGUGCAGUCUCUUAUGUGACCAGUCAGUCUGCAGAGAGAAAGGUUGGAUUGGACCUGAACGGCUGUACUGUGUCAGACCAAGGAGUAAGGCUGAUACUGGGCUCUCUGAAGAAUGUCAGACAUCUUGGACCAUCCUCUGAUGAUUCAUCUGACCCCUCAGUGCUGCUCUAUCAACUCUGGACAACUUUGCUGAGCAGUGAGACAGAGAUGGAUUUCACCAGCUUACUUUGCCUCUGUGGAAAUGAGUUGCACCUUCCAGUCCAGGGUGAAAAACAAGUGUUUGAG
ensembl:lncRNA